UUCCGGUUGAUCCUGCCGGACCCGACUGCUAUUUGGGUGAGGAUAAGCCAUGCGAGUUGAAUGGGAAACCUAAAGUUCCCAUGGCAAACUGCUCAGUAACACAUGAUCAACUUACCCUAUAGAGAAAAAUAACCUCGGGAAACUGAGGAUAAUGUUUCAUAGUUGAAUUGGCUUGGAAAAGUUUUUCGACAAAAGGGGUAAAAAAAAUGGUUUUUAUCUGCUAUAGGAUAGGAUCGUGUUCGAUUAUGGUUGUUGGUGAGGUAAUGGCUCACCAAGCCGAUAAUCGAUAGGGGCCGUGAGAGCGGGAGCCCCGAGAUGGGUACUGAGACAACGACCCAGGCCUUACGAGGCGCAGCAGGCGCGAAACCUCCGCAAUACACGAAAGUGUGACGGGGUUACCCAAAGUGUUCAAUUUUGAACUGUGGUAGGUGAGUAAUGUUCCCUACUAGAAAGGAGAGGGCAAGGCUGGUGCCAGCCGCCGCGGUAAAACCAGCUCUUCAAGUGGUCGGGAUAAUUAUUGGGCUUAAAGUGUCCGUAGCCGGUUUAGUAAGUUCCUGGUAAAAUCGGGUAGCUUAACUAUCUAUAUGCUAGGAAUACUACUAUACUAGAGGGCGGGAGAGGUCUGAGGUACUGCAGGGGUAGGGGUGAAAUCUUAUAAUCCUUGUUGGACCACCAGUGGCGAAGGCGUCAGACUGGAACGCGCCUGACGGUGAGGGACGAAAGCCAGGGGAGCGAACCGGAUUAGAUACCCGGGUAGUCCUGGCCGUAAACGAUGCAUACUAUGUGAUGGCACGGCCAUGAGCCGUGUCAGUGCCGUAGGGAAACCGUUAAGUGUGCCGCCUGGGAAGUACGGUCGCAAGGCUAAAACUUAAAGGAAUUGGCGGGGGAGCACCACAAGGGUGAAGCCUGCGGUUCAAUUGGAUUCAACGCCGGGAAUCACUAGUGCGGCC
rnacentral:rRNA from 1 species